UACGUAGGGGGCAAGCGUUGUCCGGAAUCAUUGGGCGUAAAGAGCGCGUAGGCGGCCCUGUAAGUCCGCUGUGAAAGUCAAGAAGCUCAACCCUUGAAUGCCGGUGGAUACUGCAGGGCUAGAGUCCGGAAGAGGCGAGUGGAAUCCUGGUGUAGCGGUGAAAUGACGCAGAUAUCAGGAGGAACACCGAUGGCGAAGGCAGCUCGCUGGGACGGUACUGACGCUGAGGCGCGAAAGCGUGGGGAGCGAACAGG
rnacentral:rRNA from 1 species